GAUGAACGCUGGCGGCGUGCCUAACACAUGCAAGUCGAACGAAGCACCUUACCUGAUUCUUCGGAUGAAAGUUUGGUGACUGAGUGGCGGACGGGUGAGUAACGCGUGGGUAACCUGCCCUGUACAGGGGGAUAACAGCUGGAAACGGCUGCUAAUACCGCAUAAGCGCACGAGGAGACAUCUCCUUGUGUGAAAAACUCCGGUGGUACAGGAUGGGUCCGCGUCUGAUUAGCUGGUUGGCAGGGUAACGGCCUACCAAGGCAACGAUCAGUAGCCGGGCUGAGAGGAUGAACGGCCACAUUGGAACUGAGACACGGUCCAAACUCCUACGGGAGGCAGCAGUGGGGGAUAUUGCACAAUGGAGGAAACCCUGAUGCAGCAACGCCGCGUGAGUGAAGAAGUAUUUCGGUAUGUAAAGCUCUAUCAGCAGGGAAGAUAAUGACGGUACCUGACUAAGAAGCGCCGGCUAAAUACGUG
rnacentral:rRNA from 1 species